GCAUAUCAAUAAGCGGAGGAAAAGAAACCAACAGGGAUUGCCCCCAGUAACGGCGAAGUGAAGCGGCAAAAGCUCAAAUUUGAAAUCUGGCUCCCUUAGGGGUCCGAGUUGUAAUUUGUAGAGGAUGCUUCGGGUGCGGCCACGGCCUAAGUUCCUUGGAACAGGACGUCAUAGAGGGUGAGAAUCCCGUCUUGGGUCGUUGGUCCACGCCCGUGUGAAGCUCCUUCGACGAGUCGAGUUGUUUGGGAAUGCAGCUCUAAGCGGGUGGUAAAUUUCAUCUAAAGCUAAAUAUUGGCCGGAGACCGAUAGCGCACAAGUAGAGUGAUCGAAAGGUUAAAAGCACCUUGAAAAGGGAGUUAAACAGCACGUGAAAUUGUUGAAAGGGAAGCGCUUGCGGCCAGACUCGAGCGCGGGGCUCAUCAGGUGCGUGUCACCUGUGCACUCCCCGCCGCUCGGGCCAGCAUCAGUUCUGACGGCCGGUCAAAGGCCCCCGGAAUGUGUCGUCUCUCGGGACGUCUUAUAGCCGGGGGUGCAAUGCGGCCCGUCGGGACUGAGGAACGCGCUUCGGCUCGGAUGCUGGCAUAAUGGCCGUAAGCGGCCCGUCUUGAAACACGGACCAAGGAGUCUAACAUCCACGCGAGUGUUCGGGUGUCAAACCCGUGCGCGCAGUGAAAGCGAACGGAGGUGGGAGCCUUAGGGCGCACCAUCGACCGAUCCUGAAGUCUUCGGAUGGAUUUGAGUAGGAGCGUGGCCGUUGGGACCCGAAAGAUGGUGAACUAUGCCUGAAUAGGGUGAAGCCAGAGGAAACUCUGGUGGAGGCUCGCAGCGGUUCUGACGUGCAAAUCGAUCGUCAAAUUUGGGCAUAGGGGCGAAAGACUAAUCGAACCAUCUAGUAGCUGGUUCUGC
rnacentral:rRNA from 2 species